GGGCCGAUAGCUCAGCUUGGUAGCAGCGCCUGGUUUGCAUCCAGGAGGCCGUGGGUUCAAAUCCCACUCGGUCCA
rnacentral:tRNA from 1 species